rnacentral:piRNA from 1 species
UCCAUGGCUCCAAGGAGGAUGAGGAUGGC